GGUACUGUGGCAUAGUGGGUUAAAGCCCCAGCCUGUGAUGCUGGCAUCCCAUAUGGACGCCAGUUCGAGUCCUGUCUGCUCCA
rnacentral:tRNA from 1 species